rnacentral:tRNA from 1 species
GCAUUGGUGGUUCAGAGGUAGAAUUCUCACCUCCCAGGCAGGAGAUCUGGGUUCACUUCCUGGCCAUUGCA